GCUUCCUUAGCUCAGUCGGUAGAGCGCAGGUCUCAUACAGACUAUAUGUAUGACUGAGCUAAUGCUCAGGCAAUCCUGAGGUCGACAGUUCGAGCCUGCCAGGGAGCA